rnacentral:rRNA from 1 species
GACGAACGCUGGCGGCGUGCUUAACACAUGCAAGUCGAACGAUGAUGCCCAGCUUGCUGGGUGGAUUAGUGGCGAACGGGUGAGUAACACGUGAGUAACCUGCCCCUGACUCUGGGAUAAGCGUUGGAAACGACGUCUAAUACUGGAUAUGACUGCCGGCCGCAUGGUCUGAUGGUGGAGAGAUUUUUUGGUUGGGGAUGGACUCGCGGCCUAUCAGCUUGUUGGCGAGGUAAUGGCUCACCAAGGCGACAACGGGUAGCCGGCCUGAGAGGGUGACCGGCCACACUGGGACUGAGACACGGCCCAGACUCCUACGGGAGGCAGCAGUGGGGAAUAUUGCACAAUGGGCGAAAGCCUGAUGCAGCAACGCCGCGUGAGGGAUGACGGCCUUCGGGUUGUAAACCUCUUUUAGUAGGGAAGAAGCGAAAGUGACGGUACCUGCAGAAAAAGCACCGGCUAACUACGUGCCAGCCGCCGCAGUAA